AGAGUUUGAUCAUGGCUCAGAACGAACGCUGGCGGCAGGCCUAACACAUGCAAGUCGAGCGCCCGCAAGGGAGCGGCAGACGGGUGAGUAACGCGUGGGAACGUGCCCUUUGGUUCGGAAUAUUCCCGGGAAACUGGGAGCAAAACCGGAUAAGCCCUUCGGGGGAAAGUUUACGCCAAAGGAUCGGCCCGCGUUAGAUUAGGUAGUUGGUGGGGUAACGGCCUACCAAGCCUACGAUCUAUAGCUGAUCUGAGAGGAUGAUCAGCCACACUGGGACUGAGACACGGCCCAGACUCCUACGGGAGGCAGCAGUGGGGAAUAUUGGACAAUGGGCGAAAGCCUGAUCCAGCAAUGCCGCGUGAGUGAUGAAGGCCUUAGGGUUGUAAAGCUCUUUUACCCGAGAUGAUAAUGACAGUAUCGGGAGAAUAAGCUCCGGCUAACUCCGUGCCAGCAGCCGCGGUAAUACGGAGGGAGCUAGCGUUGUUCGGAUUUGCUGGGCGUAAAGGGCGCGUAGGCGGAUUUUUAAGUCGGGGGUGAAAUCCCGGAGCUCAACUCCGGAACUGCCUUCGAUACUGGAAGUCUGGAGCACGGUAGAGGUGAGUGGAAUUCCGAGUGUAGAGGUGAAAUUCGUAGAUAUUCGGAGGAACACCAGUGGCGAAGGCGGCUCACUGGACCGUUGCUGACGCUGAGGCGCGAAAGCGUGGGGAGCAAACAGGAUUAGAUACCCCGGUAGUCC
rnacentral:rRNA from 1 species